CUUCCCGUUGGGGAACGUCACCAAAGAUGCAAAUCCUAUGGGUAUGAAUACCAUAAUAUCGUUCUUCUACUCUUUAACCACUCAUGGUCUCCUUUCAAUCGUGAUCUGAGUGGUGCACCAUAUUCAUCUUCGUUGCAGUGUCAACUGUAAUGACAGUCAUUUUGGCAGUUGUAAUCUCUACUUAGCCUGCUAACGAACACAUACAUGUACCUCAACACAAUUUCUACUGAAUUGCCAACUCUUAGCCGUCUGCUGCCUAUUUGCUGGCCCUACAGUCUUUCUAGCCAUCGGACAGCAGAAAACAAAGCCUUCUUCGUCUUCGCCACGCCCGUCAUCCCGUCUUCGCCACGCCCGUCAUCCCGUCUUCGCUUCGGCCGUCGUCCCGUCUUCGCUUCGGCCGUCGUCCCGUCUUCGCUUCGGCCGUCGUCCC